GACGAACGCUGGCGGCGUGCUUAACACAUGCAAGUCGAACGGACAGGCCCUGCUCUUGCGGGGUGCUCGAGUGGCGAACGGGUGUGUAACACGUGUGUAACCUGUCCUUGUCUUUGGGAUAACUUCUGGAAAAUCGGGCUCAUACCCGAUAGGAGCUCCUGCUGCAUGGUGGGGAAUGGAAAGAUUCGGCGGUUGGGGAUGGACUGGCGGCUUAUCCGCUUGAUGGUGUAGUAGUCGAUUACCAAGUCUUUGAGGGAUAGCCGGCCUGAGAGGGUGACCGGCGACAAUGGGACUGAGAGACGGACCAGACGCCUACGGUAGGCAGCAGGGGAGAGUAUUGCGGAAUAAGCGCGAGCCAGAGGCAGCAGCGCCGCGAGCGUGAUAAUGUGCUUCGGGUGGUGAACCGCUUUCUCCGGUGACGAGGCGGGAGUGACGGUAAUGGGUAAAGAAGCAACGGCUAACUACGUG
rnacentral:rRNA from 1 species